UCUCAGCUCACGUGGCCCUCGGCGGGCCGAACCCGGCCUCCGGGGUGGGUAGCAGUCCCGGCCACGCUCACCGGUGCGUGGAACAGGGUGGAGGAUGGAGCAAGCAGAAGCCCGUCGGAUCUGAAUGCGAAUUCCAGCUCUGCCAUCACCAGCAGGUAAAAAGUCAGAAAAAAUAAACAGAGAGCUGGUCUACGAACACACACGGCUGGAACCCGAACCCGGGUGUAUCCCGCAGCCACUCCAUGCAAGCGCGUUCUCUAAUGACAGCUGCGAGGCUAGGGGCACACAGUCCUGCCCUCCUGGGAUUGCAAUGAACGCAGAAGACAGGCAGCCGAGCCCAAUAUUUUUCAAAAGCGCGAUCCAUCAGAGCGCAGAGGAAGAAGAGCAUACUCCAGGGACUGCGGAGCGAGAACAAGUCAGACCAAGGGAGGACCUGCCGAGGGGGCCCUCCUAGAUGGACUCUUAUUCCCCAGAAGGAAAGGCAACGUGCAGAGAUUCGUACACAGGCUACAGCAAGAAGCACGGUCGUCGUACUUUGCACACAGAAGUCUCACCUCUGUAAUGGAUGUUUUCUAUUCCAUUCUAGUUCUGCUUCCUUUUUUCUUGUAUCCCUUGCUGGCUGCACCUCAUUGCAGUAAAUUAAUGUGAUAACUCUA